rnacentral:rRNA from 1 species
GUGAGGAAUUUUCCGCAAUGGGCGAAAGCCUGACGGAGCAAUGCCGCGUGAAGGAUGAAGGCCUAUGGGUUGUAAACUUCUUUUCUCAGAAAAGAAUUAUGACGGUAUCUGAGGAAUAAGCAUCGGCUAACUCUGUGCCAGCAGCCGCGGUACGACAGAGGAUGCAAGCGUUAUCAGGAAUGAUUGGGCGUAAAGCGUCUGUAGGUUGUUUAAAAAGUAUUCUGUCAAAGAUUAGGGCUUAACCCUAGAUAGGCAGAAUAAACUUUUAAGCUAGAGUUUGGUAGAGGCAGAGGGAAUUCCCGGUGGAGCGGUGAAAUGCGUAGAUAUCGGGAGGAACACCAAAGGCGAAGGCACUCUGCUGGGCCAAUACUAACACUGAGAGACGAAAGCGAGGGGAGCAAAUGGGAUUAGAAACCCUAGUAGUCC